rnacentral:lncRNA from 1 species
UCUUUCACUGUGGUUUCUGUCAAUGCUGAUGGUUACCCUUACUAUUCUCCUCCUCCUCCUUACGAGUACAAAUCACCACCUCCUCCACCUUAUGAGCACAAGUCUCCUCCUUAUGAGUACAAGUCUCCACCUCCCCCAUCUCCAUCUCCUCCUCCUCCUUACGUCUACAAGUCUCCACCUCCACCACCAUAUGAGCACAAGUCUCCUCCAUAUGUGUACAAAUCACCACCUCCUCCAUCUCCUUCACCACCACCUCCUUACGUCUACAAGUCUCCACCUCCUCCUCCUUAUGUCUACAAGUCUCCACCUCCUCCUCCUUACGUCUACAAGUCUCCACCACCACCUCCUUAUGUCUACAAAUCUCCCCCUCCACCACCAUAUGAGCACAAGGCUCCACCAUAUUAUUACAAGUCACCACCACCUCCUUCCCCAUCUCCUCCACCUCCUUAUUACUAUAAAUCUCCUCCACCACCCUCUCCCUCACCUCCUCCUCCCUACUACUACAAGUCUCCACCACCUCCUUCACCAUCUCCUCCUCCACCCUACUACUACAAGUCCCCACCACCUCCUUCACCAUCUCCUCCUCCACCCUACUACUACAAGUCCCCACCACCACCCUCCCCAACUCCCUACUACUACAAGUCCCCACCACCACCAUCUCCAACUCCCUACUACUACAAGUCUCCACCACCACCAUCUCCAACUCCUUACUAUCCAUCCCCCACUCCUUACUACUACAAGUCUCCACCACCACCAUCCCCAACUCCCUACUACUACAAGUCUCCUCCUCCUCCUUCACCUACUCCUUACUACUACACUUCUCCACCACCACCCAAAUAUCCACCUCCCUACUAUUAUAACUCCCCUCCUCCACCUGUUGUGUAUCCCCCACACCCCUACCACCCCCACCCCUUGAUUGUCAAGGUAGUGGGUAAAGUCUACAGCUACAAGUGCUAUGACUGGGAGUAUCCCGAGAAGUCUCACAACAAGAAACACCUCAAAGGUACACACCUUAUUUUUCUCAUUUACAAUGCCUUCCAAUUAAUGUUCUCUGUGUUACCAUCAAACUGUUACUUUCCUGCUUCUUUGAUGUUCAUUAGCAGCCGCUUUUUGGAGUUAGGAGACUCCUAUGUUUCCAUAAUGGAAAUGUCUUUGUUUUUAAAAUUCAGUCACUUUCACAACCACCUUUUCUUAUCUGUCUGUUUUUCUUAUAAUUAACCUUUUGAGGUUAAUUAACGUGUUAAUAAGGUUUGAGGGAAAAAAACUGAACAGAUUCAGAGCGUCUAGAGUAAUGCACAAGUGAACAUUUUAUAAUGUGGUUAAUAGGCAUUUUAUAAUUUUAAUGAUAUAUUUAUCUGCAUUGAUCUGUGCAAGUAUCUUUAUAUAAAUUAAACAAAGAUACUAAAUAAAUGUCUUAGAUUAUGUGUGAUUAUCUCCAAAAGGAGAUUCAUAAAAAGGAAAAGAAAAACAGAAAUAUAAUUUAGAAGAAUCGGCUAAUGCCUGUAAUACAUUAAGAAAUAAUCAACUAGACACUUUAUAUAUGAACCUUUAAAUGAUUCUUAAUAUAUAAUAUAAUAUGGUAUCUGACAAAACUUUCACUUUAAUGAUAACUUGGUGUGUGGUAUGAUCUAUGAAUUGGAAUUAAGCAUUUUGGGGUGAAUGCAGGUGCUACUGUUGAGGUUAAAUGCAAAGCAGGAAGAAACAUCAUUAAGGCUUAUGGUGAAACUAAGAGCAAUGGAAAAUACAGCAUCACAGUUAAGGACUUUAACUAUGUGAAAUAUGGAUCCGUAGUGUGCAAGGCCAAGCUUUAUGCCCCACCUAAGGACUCUCCAUUCAACAUACCUACAAAGUUGAACGAGGGAACAGAGUUGAAGGUCAAAUCCAAAGACAAAUAUGAAGUUGUGUUGAAGGCUAAGCCAUUUGCUUAUGCUUCAAAGAAGCAUUUCAAAGAAUGUGAAAAGCCUAAGCCUUCACCAACUCCAUACUAUUACAAGUCACCUCCUCCUCCAUCUCCAGUUUACAUAUACAAGUCACCACCUCCUCCAUCACCUACUUAUGUUUACAAGUCACCACCACCACCAGUGAAGUCACCUCCCUAUUACUAUCAAUCUCCACCUCCACCAUCACCAAAACCUCAGCCUCCUUAUUAUUAUCACUCUCCACCUCCUCCAACACCAGUUGUUAAGCCACCAUACUACUACCAAUCUCCACCUCCUCCAUCUCCAAAACCUAAGCCUCCAUACUACUACCAAUCUCCUCCUCCUCCAUCACCAAAACCUAAACCUCCUUACUACUACCAAUCUCCACCUCCUCCAUCACCAAAACCUCAGCCUCCAUACUACUAUCAAUCUCCACCUCCUCCAACACCAGUUGUGAAGCCACCAUACUACUACCAAUCUCCACCUCCUCCAUCACCAAAACCUCAGCCUCCUUACUAUUACCAAUCUCCACCUCCUCCAACACCAGUUGUUAAGCCACCAUACUACUAUAAAUCUCCACCUCCCCCAUCACCCUCUCCUCCACCACCAUACUACUACAAAUCUCCACCACCACCAUCCCCAUCACCGCCACCUCCAUACUACUAUAAAUCUCCACCUCCACCAUCACCGGUUGUUAAGCCACCAUACUACUAUAAAUCCCCACCUCCCCCAUCACCCUCUCCUCCCCCUCCAUACUACUAUAAAUCUCCACCUCCAUACUACUACCACUCUCCACCUCCACCAUCACCAGUUGUUAAGCCACCAUACUACUACAAAUCUCCACCUCCACCAUCACCCUCACCUCCCCCUCCAUACUACUAUAAAUCUCCACCCCCACCUUCACCAUCCCCUCCUCCUCCAUACUAUUAUAAAUCACCACCACCACCAUCCCCAUCACCGCCACCUCCAUACUAUUACAAAUCCCCUCCACCUCCAUCCCCAUCUCCACCGCCUCCUUAUUACUAUCACAGUCCUCCUCCACCAUCUCCCACUCCUCAUCCUCCCUACUACUACAAAUCCCCUCCACCACCAACGUCCUAUCCUCCACCUCCUUACCACUAUGUGAGCCCUCCACCACCUUCUCCAUCUCCACCUCCACCAUACUAUUACAAAUCACCACCUCCUCCCUCCCCAGCCCCCGCUCCAAAGUACAUUUACAAAUCACCUCCACCUCCAGCUUACAUCUAUUCUUCCCCACCUCCACCCAUCUACAAGUAAGCUCGGAUUGUGGAAGCACCAUUCACCACAAAUCAUGUAAGUUCAGGAUUCCAACAUUGAUCAUAAGUAAAAUUAGUUAAUUAUACGUGUAUGAAUUUUAGUAAUGGAAAUUCCCACUGAAUUAUUUUUUCAGGUUCUAGUUUUCAUGGAGGAAUAAAGGCAAGCUCCAUUUGGAGUGAAGUGAAAUAUCUAUCUUCCUGUCCAAGUUCUUUGAAUAAUAAAAGUCUGAAUGUGUCAUCUCUGGGCUACAAUGUUUGUGAUUCAGACCCGGUUGGUUCAAUUUGUUUGAUGGCCAUCUUGCACGUCCUGAUCUUAUUGUGUUCAAGUGACGGACAAAUGAAAAAGAGGAAGAGAGAUUUAAAGUGUAAAUGCCAAGUGAAAGUGAAAAAGUACAGUCCACUCUUAGAGAUCUCUUAAAUUUAUUUGUUUAUAGGCCGUCUAUGAUUGCUUUUCUAUUUAUUGUGGAAUUUUUGUAUUGUACCAGUUGUUGUGUUUGCAAUAAGUAAUAGUAAUAAACCACCAAAUUCAGGUUUCCUAACUUUCCUUUAAAAUGAAUGAAUAAAUAAGAAGUAUAAAAAGUAUGAUACCACAACCCUUAUAUAACAAAACUACCUUAAGCUUAUUCUCUUUACCUUAAUCCUUACCUUAAACCUUAAACUCUGUUUCAAGACAACAAUUUGAAUACGAAAAACAUAUGUCACGCGUUGUAGACAUUAUUCAUUACCAAGUUUUCAACUGGGUCAGAGUAAAAAUUUCACAUCCUACACUUCUGAAAAUCCUCUUGUUAUUAUUCUUAUGUUACCACAAUUUUGGUUUCCUAAUAACCAUUUGCAUUUAUACCAUUCUCGAGAUAUCAAAUAGUACAUCAGAAAGAGUCUCUGCCUGAUGCCUAUCAAACUCAAUAUCUGCCCACUAUGAUGAUUCUUUAGAAGGCACCAGCUAAAGUUUCUGCAUGUUUGAACUUUGCUCAUAAACAGAUAAGAUAAACAAACAAUUGACAUAAAUUAUUUGGACUCAACACCAAAUCACGUUUCCUUCUUGGAAUCUUUGCUCAUUUCUUUUGUAGUACGUACCAAUUAUUAAUUAUUAAUUUAACUAUAAGUCUUCUUCUUCUUCUAGCCAUAUCCAAGCAGGUCCCAUUAUCUAAUUAAAUAGCCCCCAAUAAUCUGAUCAAAUCCACAUAACUGAUUCGUGGACCCUUUCUUCCUUCUAAUUCAUGCAAUUUCCCUAAAGUUACAAAAACUAAUUUCACACUGCUACUAACAACCACAGCAUCAGCAUCUUAAUUAUUUCAUUUACCAUGUCACAAAAUUUGAAGUUGUGAUGAUGACAAGUUCUAAGAUUAUUUAAAUAUGAAUCAGUAGUUUGAAUUUAUAUAAGCUAUCACUAACGCAUGAUUUAGUUAUGAUUUGAAUUAGUCAUUGACAGAUACUGAUAAUUUUUAACAGUAUUAAUUAUCAUCCUGAGUUGUAUUAAGCUCAAAUGUGUACCUAACAAAGGCAACUAAAAAUUAAAGAAAGGAAUUCACAAGCACUAAUUAUUGCUGUGUUUACAAGAAAACAAAAAAAGUGGUCUUCCAACUAAUAUAAGAGAAAGUGGCAACUUGCUAUAUAAAGGGAAACAUAAAGAUAGAAAAGGGUUGAAAUGCUAAUUUGUUAUGGGUGCUGUCAUGCAUCAAUUCUGAUUAAUCUAAAUUUUUGAAGUUAUAUAAAACUACAAAGAGAACGAUGGCGCACCGAACAAUCAUUAUAAAGAAGAGGUCUACCCACUAUUUGAGGAACUGCUCAUCAUCACUUAAUGUAAAGAAUAACUUUUUAAUAUUUUAUAACUUUUCAAACUACUAAUUAAAUAAAUGAGCAUAAAAUAAUUUGUAUGCUUGAACCAAUAAUGUUUUCUGAAAAAAAAAACACUAUUGUGAUGCUGAUGUUUAAUAAACAACUGUAUUAAGAAAUGGGUUUUUCAAUUAUCAUUUUAAGAAUUAUUUGGUUGUUUUCAAGAGGGGUUUCUAGGAAGGAAAGGAUGGGGUUGGGAAAGGAUUAAUUAAGUAACCUUUUGCUUUGGGGGUGUUUUUUUUUAUCAUCAACAAUAAUGAAUAAAUAAAUAUUGAUCACUUUAGGGGUGAUCCAACUCUUAUACAACAUACUAAAACAGUCGGCCAACAUAAUACUAUCUAAACUACUCAAAAGUCAUCUAAACUACUCUAAAACAAGAAGCUCCAGAACGAGAAACAAACCAUAAGUUCAAGACACCAAUCUGAAUAAGAAAAACAAGCAGAUGAAAUUUUAAAGGAAAUCCAAGAUCAAACUUUCAAUUGAGUUAGAGAAAACGUCUCUGAAUGAUGCGUCACUCCACCUUUAAAGAUGACAUUGUUCCUAAGACAGAAAAUCUCACUAACCAUCACAAUUCAAACAUUUUUCAAAAUCAAAUUAACAGAAUUAGGUGCAUUACACAGGUUGCUGGCAAGAAACUUGUAUUUCCAAACAAAGGGAGUGACAAAAUUUGUACUCUGUUGGUAGAAGAAUGAAGUACUAUAUUCUUGCAGCUGUACAUUUAUCUAAUAGAUGCAUGCACUGUUUUCCCAAGGUUGUUUCCAUUUUCUGUCUGUAUCACAUAUAUUAAGCAAAAUGUUCAUUCUGCUGGAUGCAGUAUUAUGCUGCAGAGAUUCUGCUUUUGGCUUAUUUUGUCUUAUGAGCUUUGAUUCUCUAAACCUUUUUGUAAAGAGUUGGAGAGCAUACCUUAAAUGCUUCAAUUCUAUUUAUUUCAUUCUUUCCCAAUAAAAGAAAAGGAAUUGUUCAUGUGAGAAAUAUUGGAAUCCUAUUAAGGUAUUUUUAUAACCAAUGUGAAGAAAUUUGGUCUGUAGUUAAUUUCAGUUAAGGUUUAUUGUCAUGGCUGAUUUUGAUUUUUACUCUUUGUAAACAACUGAAAUAAUUUACAACUAGCAUUAUGGAUAAUAAUCUUACAUUAGCAUAGGAUCCUAUUGUCAUUUUCACUUCUUCACACUACUAUUGCAGCAAAAUGGCAUAAUGUUGCAGUAGUUUGCACCAUCUUAGUCUCUUAAAGAUCCUUUUUUCUGUGCUCAUGUGAUGUAUGACAGAAGAUAUGCUGCCACUGAAAAAGAGGUUCUGCUUCUUCAUAUUUCACAAUCUUGUUGCACCUCAUGAGGUGUGUGAUUCAAAAAGUUAUUACAUAUAAAUACUAAUUAAUGGGAUGAAUUAUAUAAUAAUUAGAUAAUAAUAUUAGAAUAAGGACUAGUGUUUAAUCUCUAAUUUUUUUCUUAUUCUAAACAUACAUGUAACCAUGUUUAGAAAGUUAUUUGGUUUACGCAAUAACUAUAAGUGUGAAAAAUUUAAACUACUUUUUCAUCAUAUUUGGUUAAAGACAAAGUUUUAUUGUUUAAUCUGAUACCAUAUGAUGUUGUAUAUUUUUAUCAUUUACCUUCAUCAUCUUCACCCAAUAGUAAUGAUAAUAAUAUAGUAACCACAUGAAAUAUUUUAAUAUUUUAAUAUUUGAUAUUUUAUUGUUUAACUAUUAUAUUAUUUCACCUAGUUUUGUUUUGUUUUUAAAAGCAAAAAAUUACAAAAACAUAUAGUGUAAUUUUCGUAAUGAUAAUAAUUUAAAAAAUAAAUAAAUACUUCAACAUUACAAUAAAAUCAUUAGAAACUAAUUUUAAACCUAAAAUAAUUACUUACUAUUUGACGAUCACUUUAUAAAUUAAAAUAUUAUUGGUAUCUAAAGUAAUUUUUAUUAUUAAUAAAAAUACAUCAUUACCAAAAUUUUAGUUCCUUAUUAUUUAUUAAUCUUUUAAAGAUCAAAUUAAAAUUUAAAAUAUUAAUAGUUAAAAUCUUGAUCCUUAAUUUAGAUACUAAUUUAUAAUUUAUAUUAUUUUUUAUUAAUAAUAAAAUUAGUUUAAAUACGAAUAAUUUUUUAGUUUCAUUAUCUAAUUUAGUCUAUUAAUUAUUAUUUUUAUCUUAAAAUUUGGUUUGAUGGUUUGUUACAGUAGAAGUUCAUUUUUAUUGAAGUUUGAUUUGGUUCUACGUGUUAUGUUUUAGAAAUUUAAUUUCUUAGCGUCACUUUGGUCAUACGUGGUUCAUUCAGAUUGAGAGGCUAUGAGCCCAAUGGGCAAGCACCCAUUUCCUCUAAGAAUUAUUUUUCCUGCACCCCUACGUUUUUCUUUCUGCACCCCAUAAUUUUAAAAAUUCCAAAAUUGAUUUUGACCUUGACCCUUUAUUUAGAAAAGGACACCGUGAAAUGUGCUACGGACUCAUUAAUAAUAGUAUAAAUUAUUAUGUUAUACUCUAAUCGAUAUGAAUUAUAAAAACGUUAAAUCUCAGAAAAACUAUUUAAAAAAUAUUAAAAUUAAAAUACCAACUCACUCAAUGUAUACUUUUUUAUUAUGAAUAGAAAUAGUUCAAUCCUUGUUGGAUUAUAAACAUUUUCCUGAUUUUGAAAAAUAAAUAAGUAGCAAAUGAAUGAAGUGGAAGGGAUUAAUGGAACUGUAGGAUGACAAAGACUAAAUUAAUAAUUUACAAAAUUAAAAACCAAUUCAAUAAAUUGUUAUUAAUAUAAUGAAUUGAUGUUUUUGAUUUUUUCAUAUAACAAUUGGUGAAGUUCUGAGGUAGACAAGUUGUCGCCCAACAAACUUUGACACUUCUUCUCAGAACAAGUGGUAGACCAUACAUGCAUCCUUAUUCUAAACAAAAAAAAAACAUCAAAUGUUUCAAAAAAAAACUCAAUAUUAUCCAUACCGAUGUGAUAAUGUCGUAUUCAAAAAAAAAAAAUUAUACCAAUUUGUUUUACACUAAAAAAAAUCCAAACUUUCUUCAAAUGGGAGUAAAAUACUAAACUUUCCUUUUCUCUUGACCGAGUCAACUUUCUGAACCCACUUUGCUUGCAAUGAAAAAAUGUAAUUUUUUUGACUUAAUCGUUAUGGGAAAGAAGAUUGACUGAUACAAAGUUGGAACAGAUAUGAAAAGAACCUGAACUGUUUACAGUGGUGUCACGUUAUUACCAUGAAAGUAGAUUAAAACAAACCUCAAAAGGUUAUUAUUCUUCAAUUCCCUUCACGUAAGUUGCAGUGUGGAUACUGUGAAUUUUCUUUGCUUUCAACUGGGACCUGUAGAAAGAGAAAAUGACUGCAAACAAGAAAGACACCCUUUGGAUUUCUCUUUCUCUCUCUCUCUCUCUUUCCCUCGUAAUUUUAUUUUUGAGACAACUCACAGAAGUCUUGCAAGUUGUAACCUUCAGUUUCUGGUUUCAGCCGACUAGUUUGAUCAGGUUCCGUCUACCCAGAUCUACUUUUGCCACAAUUUAUUCACUUUUUUCAUUUCUUGGAUCUAUUGCAUCUCUUGGGUAUCCUUAUUCUAUCUCAAUUUGAAGUCUUUCAUGCCAAGCUUCUUCUGGGAUCCCUUUUGAUCUUCUUUGUUGCUUAGUUUCUCGUAUAAUUUGCUCCUUGCUUCUUCUUCUGGCUUACUAUUUAUAAAGAUUUUAUCUUUUAUCGUUUCUUAUAAUUAUUUGUUAUCUUGGUAUUUACGUUUAGUUAUGAUGGUGCCCCUCUUUAAGUUUUCAAUGUUCUUUCCAAUUCAACUUUGCUUGAAAGAUUAUAUUAUACAGUGUCCUAUUUUUUUUUCCUCUGUGAUUUUAUUCAUGGUCCUUUGUUUUAUGUCUUUCCAUGCUUUCUAGUACAAUUUCGGAUUGUCUGAACUUUGAUUGCUGUUAGAAACGAUGGGGAUGAAGUGAAAUUCAUGAGGUUUGACCCUGCAUAGCAUUGUCAUUUGCAUGUUUGAGAAUUUGGAUUGAUCUCUGAAAGUUCAUGUAAGACUUAUUUUCAGAUAGUGAUGUUGGUUCUUUCUCCGUAGUAGAAUUUGGCAUGCAACUAUAGUUGAGUUCUGAUGUUGCUUCCAUGUCCAAACUCCCAAGUAGUAAAGGCUUACAAUUUUACUUCUUAUAUAUUUCAUGCCCAUUUGCCCUAUUUGUUUAAUCAUAUAUUGUGCAGACAUUGUACUUCUUGUUUCUUCUUUGAUGAAUUAGUCAACUCUAAAUGAUUGGUUUGGUUACUUUAAACUUCUAUCUUAGUACAAGUAAAGAAUACUGAUUGGAAAAUAUAUAUUUUUCUUGAAUUGUGCAUGACAAAUGUUUGAAAUGGGCUUUAUUUCUACUUGGCAGUUAAGCGUGGUUUUGGCAGGCUAAUUCUGAAAACCGGCUAGAAUGAAGAAGGCCAUUGGUCAAACUGUUAGGGAACUGUGAGUCUAACUGUUUAGGGUGGUGUUUGUUACUAUUUUUUAACUCAGCCCUAUUUCAUAAUUCCUCACUAUCUUCAUUGUCCUUGCAGUAAAAGAGAAGUAAAUAAGAAAGUGCUUAAAGUUCCUGGGAUAGAACAGAAGGUAAAUUUUGUUCGCUUAACAUUUACUGUAAAACUGAAUUGCAUAUAAUAUAACUCAUUGCAAAGACAAUGGUGUGAGGAUUUAUGUGAAGUCUGCAAUCUGAAUUUACUUUUCUAAUAUUUGCUCACAAAAGAAAUUGUUUGUUGACUAUCUUGGAGCUUACACAUUAUAAUCUUACUGUGCAAAUUUUAAUUAGACUCGUCUCUCGUCUCUUCCAGAUUCUUGAUGCUACCAGCAAUGAAGCCUGGGGUCCUCAUGGAUCACUUCUAGCAGAUAUUGCUCAGGCUACCAGAAAUUAGUAAGCUUGAACUCAUCAUUUAUGCUUGAUAUUGUAUACAAAUAUCUCACUUUUGAGCUCCCUUGCAGUCAUGAAUACCAAAUUAUCAUGGAAAUAAUCUGGAAGCGGAUUAAUGACACAGGCAAGAAUUGGCGGCAUGUCUAUAAGGUUUGUGGAACUUUUUUAUGUUUUAGAUGGAAUUACUCUUGGAAUCUCUUUUUUCUUUUGUUUAUUGUCAUAACAACACUCUUCUGUUUUGACCUUCAAUAUGCAUCCGUGAACUGAAGUACACUAUUUAUGAAAUUUUCUCAAUACUUAUUUACAAACAACUAAUGGUUCUUGCCUUUCAAGAACUCUGUCUAGUAUGUUUAUGCAUUUAUUUCUGAUCAUGCCCUCUUGGAAAAGAAUGGCUCUUACAUUUUUGUAUUAAAUGUUCAACAACAGGCUUUGACAGUAUUAGAAUAUGUGGUGGCUAAUGGGUCAGAGCGAGUCAUAGAGGAGAUUAGGGAGCAUGCCCACCAAAUAUCGGUAAUUUCCUGUCAAUUGAAACAUUUAUAAACUGUUUAGUAUUUUUCAUUCAAACUAUUAAUAUUAUUGAAAUGAUCUAAAAAUUAGAAUGCAGCUUGAUAAUGUUGUAAAUGUUCAUAUCAACAGACAUUGUCCAAUUUUCAAUAUAUUGAUUCCAGUGGAAGAGACCAGGGAAACAAUGUCAGGAAGAAAUCACAGAAUCUCAUUCUCCUUGUGAAUGAUAAAGAAAGAAUCAUAGAGGUUAGACAGAAGGCUGCUGCUAACAGGGACAAGUAAUUCUCCUCUUAUUAGUCUGUUUUUUUAUAUAUAUUUUGAACUUUGUUAUUUUCCAGUUGCUAUAAAAACUUAUGUCUUCUGCCUUGCUGGGGAAGAAAAUAUAUUUCUUUUCCCUGUAUUUUGUAAUAUCCAUCCAUUGUGUAUUUGAAUUUCUUUUGGGUUUCUAGAUCACAAAUGUAAAAUCACAGAGUAUAUUAUGUAAAUAUGUAUGUGGGUUAAUCCGGAGGAGAUAUGUAAUGUAAUUGCCCAGCAUGAUUCACCAGGUUUCGCGCCAGUUCAACAGGUGGAAUGUACAGGCCUGGUUCUCAUUCUAGCAGUGGGGCUUAUGGUGAUAGAUAUGAAGAUGAUCGUUAUAGAAGCAGGGAGGAAGAUAGAAGUGAUCAUGGCUAUGGCAGAGAAAGAGAGUGGGGCUAUAGAGAUGAUGAUCGGUAUAGUCGUGAAGGAGAUCGUUAUGGCAGAGAUAAUGAGGAAAGCUACAGAAAAGAUGGCUAUAGGGAUGAUGAGUACCAUAGAAGAAGUGUUGAUGAUGGCCAAUAUGGCUCAAGAAGCAGGAGCUCUGACAGAGAUCAUGAUCAUAAUGUUGAUGAUGAUGGUCAGCGUUCAUCUGGGUACGUGCCUGAGAUAGCCAAAAAAAAACAUCUAACAAAAUCUGAAAUAGAUAAUGUUUUUAUUUUUCAUAAUUAUAGUUCUUGGGGUUCAUUUGGUUUUGGAUCUUAGACUCUUAUUAGUUGUUAUGAUCUGUAUAUAUAUAUAUGCAUAUUAGAUGUAAAAAACUUAGACUACUUCAAAAGACAAGUACACAGCAUAAUCCGUAUUAGCUUUGAUGUUAGGAUUCAUGGUUGCACAACAUUCCUCUCUCAUUCUGCUUACUCCAUCCUUUUUUACAAUGUUGUCUCAGAGGUAGCAUUGCUAAAGCUGAAGCUCAUUCAAUGGAAGGAAGGUAAAUCAUCCCUCUCUCUCAUAUCACACACAUAUCCAUGCAUAAUGGCCAUUUAGCAUUAUUUUGGAUGACCAUAUGCAAUUCCAUGGGCAGGUUAGAGCAGAAACUUUCUGAGCAAAAUGUGGGUGCUCCUCCCAGUUAUGAAGAAGCUCUUUCUCAAAGCCCUUUACACAAUGAAAGGUAUGAAUUUAAUAAUACCGAGAUUAUCUAUUCCAAUUCCGAACAUAUUUGUUACUAUAUCACUUUGAUUGAAGGGAUGGGGGAAUUUCAGCUGCAAAAGCCUCUUCUCCUGUAAGUGACAAUCCUACACAAACAGCUGCUGCUGCCAGUACUGCAACAUCUGGAAACCCAGAAUCUAAGGCUUUUGAUGAAUUUGAUCCUCGUGGUCAUCCUGCAUCAGGUGUGGCAAGUUCUUUGUUUUGAAAAUUGAGUACACAUGUUGAAGUUUAUUAUUUUUAAUUGUCCUUUUUCUACUUCAUGUCAGGUUCGACACUCACAUAUAUGUAUGUGUCCAAUGAAAUAUAUUUAUAAUUAUCAACAUAUGAUAGCAAAUUUUUAUUGUAUGUUUCUUAUUAGCUGCCCGAGCUCCUGCUAGUAAUGUUGAACUGGACUUGUUCGGCUCCCUAUCUGAACCAUUCUCUUCAAAUGCAUUGGCUCCUGUGUCUUCUGCACCAGAAACAACAACCUCUCAAGGCAACACAAACCUUGAUUCAACUGUGGCCUUUGCACCACCACCAUCUGCUACUAAUAAUUUCAAUACGGUAGGAAUUUGCUUUUUUGUUUAUACCUUGACUCUAAGAAAGUAUUUGAAUACGCUGUAUUAUUUAAUAAGAAUGAAUUUUUGUGUAUGGCUUGGAAUGAUUUUCUUGCAUGCUUAGGUGGGUAGCUUCAACUUAAGAAAUGUAGCGUAUUAAAUACUGUAACUUCUGUAAAACAUUAAUUUAAUUUGUAUCCUUUG